rnacentral:tRNA from 1 species
GAGGGUGGCUCGACAGCAGUAAAGACUGCUAAUCUUAUACCCCCUUGGUUAAACCCCAAGGCUCCCUCGU